rnacentral:tRNA from 1 species
UGGGAUGUAGCUUAGUGGUAAAGUGCUUGCCUCACAUGUAUGAAGCCUUGGGUUCAAUUCCCAGCUCCAA